UACGUAGGGGGCAAGCGUUGUCCGGAUUUAUUGGGCGUAAAGAGCGUGUAGGCGGUCAGGUAGGUCCGCUGUGAAAACCCGAGGCUCAACCUCGAGAUGUCGGCGGAAACCAUCUGGCUAGAGUCCGGAAGAGGAGAGUGGAAUUCCUGGUGUAGCGGUGAAAUGCGCAGAUAUCAGGAAGAACACCCGUGGCGAAGGCGGCUCUCUGGGACGGUACUGACGCUGAGACGCGAAAGCGUGGGGAGCGAACAGG
rnacentral:rRNA from 1 species